rnacentral:rRNA from 1 species
UACGUAGGGUGCGAGCGUUGUCCGGAAUUAUUGGGCGUAAAGAGCUCGUAGGCGGUUUGUCGCGUCGGCCGUGAAAACUUGGGGCUUAACCCCAAGCCUGCGGUCGAUACGGGCAGACUUGAGUUCGGCAGGGGAGACUGGAAUUCCUGGUGUAGCGGUGAAAUGCGCAGAUAUCAGGAGGAACACCGGUGGCGAAGGCGGUUCUCUGGGCAUUACCUGACGCUGAGGAGCGAAAGUGUGGGGAGCGAACAGG